UCAUGCUUGUGGACCUUUGGAACUGGAGUUACAGAUAGUUGUGAGCCACCCCAUAGGUGUUGGGAAUUGAACCCGUGUAGAAGUUAACUCGAUUCAGGAAAUAACCAGGUUAGCUAAAAGAUAUACAAUUAUAUUUUUAUUUAUUAUAAGAAGAAAACUCAAGAAACCGAGACGAGAAGUCCAAGCUCAGCUAGCUAUGUGGCUAGGGAACCACAAAGAGAGAGAGAGCACCUGGGCCAUGUGCCUGGUUUUCGCUGUGGGGGAGGGGGGUCCCAGAAAGCCACACCCUAACUUGGUCCCACUUCUUAAAGAUAAUUGGUUAACAAGGCUUCCCAGGGUCCAAGGCAUAAUAGCAAGUGUUCUUUACCCGCCGAGGCAUUUCUCCAAUCCCCUUCCCUUUUUUUCUUGGCUUUAAUUAGCCAGAACUUGACUCCAACUCAUUACAUAGUCAAAAAUGACCUUCACUUUUUUCUUUGCUUUUUGUUUUUAUGAGACAGGCUCUGUAGUUUUGGAGUCUGUCCUGGGACUCGCUCUAUAGAUCAAGCUGGCCUUGAACUCACAGAGAUCUGCCUGCCUCUGCCUCGUGAGUGCUGGGAUUAAAGGUGUGCGCCACCACCACCUGGCCAACCUUGACUUUUUGAUUUACUUCAUUUUAAAAACACAUAUAUGUAAGGGUUAUAUGUACAUGCGGGUACCCACAGAGAUCAGAGACAUCGGAUCCCAUGGGGCUGUAGUUACAGAAGGUUAUGAGCCAUCUGACCUUAUGACCUGGGUACUGGGCACCCAACUGGGGUCCUCUGGAAGAAUAGUACACAGUAUGUACUCUUAACCACUGAGCGAUCUCUAUUUCCAGCCCUGAGCUCGAACAUCUGAUCCUCUUCCAUACACCUCCAGAGCAACACAGUAAUCCCCCACCCAGUUUGAUGCAGGGCAGGGGACAAACCCAGGACUUUGUACAUGCAAAGCAAACAUUCUUCUAACUGAACUGCUGAUCCAGCUAACAAGCCAAGCUCUUUGAAAAACCACAGACCCCCCGUGGUUUGGAUAGUUGGAAGGUGUUAGGAAACGCAUCUAGCAACAGUUUAAUUGUAGAAUCUAAGUGGUGGAUGGAUGAGCGUUCACUGCAUAACUAUAAACUUGGCCGUCUCUCACAGGUUGGGAGGGCAGGCACAGUGGUCUCGUGGUCAAAUAGCCUUCUGCUCUAUCAGGGCAGACAACACUUCGGGGCUGGGCUGUCAUCCUGUGUGUGUGUCUGCGUGCCGUUGUCAUUUCCGUGUGUCAUCAUUGUGACCCUGAGGAGGAAGAAUGACUGAGGGUGUCCUGUGGGUCUGUGUGCCCCCCUCUCAGGGCCAACUCGGAGACCCCCUAAGCCUGGCAGCCAAGAGAGGCACCUCACACAAAGCUAGGCAGAAGCCAGCUCUCCACUGUGGGUUUUCCCCCGAGAAGAAUGGCUGCUUUCAGCACAAGCUUUGAUGUCAGAGAGUUAAACUGAGCCAGGUUAAGCUGCCUAUGCUGUCUUACUCCAGAAACGGCCUGGCAGGUAAGAUUCAGAGAAGCCUCCUUCCACUCACGGUCUGCUUUGCUCUGCAUUAUAAAGCCGGGCCUCCAGCUGCAUGGUCACGGGUCUGGGCUGGUCUCUGGGACUAAAAGUAAAGGUCUUUUUGGAAAAAAUGACAGUGGCGUCUUUGGCUAAGGAUGAUGGGAAAAGCUCACCGGGUUGUCACGGCUGUCACCGCCGUCAUUGGAGCAGCCUCCUGGAGGCUUUUCUCUGAGCUGUCUCUCAGCUUAGCCUAUGAAUUCUCGUCCCCGAGAAGAAAGGCCAGCAGUAAUAGAGGCCUUGCUGGCCUGAGGAGGGCGUGCCUAAACUCACCUCCCCCAUCCUGCAUGAUGUAAGAGAUCAUAGAAAGGGGCGUGGAAGGCGGCUGCAAAGAUGAGAGCAUUUUGUUUGGCUCCAGGACACCUCCGUUGAUGGCUGUGACGUGUCUUUAGAAAACGAAGGACACAUACUGGAUUUUAGUUGACAUGACCUACAAUUUGUGCAAACAAACACAUUGGCCGAUCAAUUAGCUAUGUCUCAAUAUAAGAUCUGCAUCAAAUACAAAUUUUCCACAUCUCUAUUUCUUUCGCAUGAAUGUGUGCUUGUGCCCCACUGUGCCUUGUAGAGAUCAGAGGACAACUUGCGGGAGUCGAAUUUCUCCUUCCACCUUGUGAGUUCCAGAAAUAGAACUCAGAUGGUCAAGCCCGGCUGCAAGGACCCAUGCCUGCUCACUCAUCUCGCUGGCCCUCCCUGCAUUCCUGUGUCUGCAGGAGCGUCUUAUCACUCACUUCACAGCAAAUCUUCCUGAGUGGAGUCUAGUUUUGCACUCUUGGGGACUAGAGAGGUUGGAAUUCCUGGCCUGGGGGAUCUUUGCUGGCUAAGCAUAACUCAGCCCCCAAGCUUUCCUGGCAGGACUUGGAAGACAUUUUGCCAUCUUUCUGUAGAGUGUCGUGUACAUUCCUGAAUCUUAUUAUUUGGCCUCAUUCUAUUUAUCUAUAUUUUUGGUGUUUAAACAUAAAAAAUAUAAGCCGGGCGGUGGUGGCGCACCUCUUUAAUCCCAGCACUUGGGAGGCAGAGGCAGGCGGAUCUCUGUGAGUUCGAAGCCAGCCUGGUCUACAGAGUGAGUUCCAGGACAGGCUCCAAAACUACAGAAAAACCCUGUCUUGAGAAACCAAAACCAAACCAAACAAACCAACAAAAAACCCAAAGACAGAAGAUACUGGAAAAGAGAGGACAGACACAGGGCAGGGAGACUGAGGAUGGGGCUUACUGAAAACUCAGAAGAUGCCUUGGUGACCUUGUCGAUCAGCUGCUGUGGUCUUCCUAUUUUGACAGUAACAGGAGGUUUGUUUCACCUCGGCUAGUUUCCUGUGAUGUGUCCACUCUGCCCUAUGAACUGGGACUCACUUUGCGUUUGAAUCAGAAAGAAUCAAAGCAAUAAAGAUUAUGUCCAUCUUUCAGUCCCCUGCUGUCAUUCAGCAAUAUGGGUGUCUUUCUUGGGUUGCCAGAAUCCUUUAAAGUCAAGUGUCAAAAGGCUUGUCUCACCUUUUUGGAAGGUUAAUCCAAGGCUUCGAGAUUACACUUGUCUUGUUUUUGUAGGCAGGGCAGUAAUAUUGCAGGGUGCCUGCAGAACCAGUGCCAGUUUAAAUGCCUCCAUGUCUCACAUCACAGAAGUAGAAGUGAACCUUUCUAUAUUUUUUCUUUCUCUCUCUUUUUUUCU